rnacentral:rRNA from 1 species
ACAGAGGUCCCAAGCGUUGUUCGGAUUCACUGGGCGUAAAGGGUGCGUAGGUGGUGAGGUAAGUCGGAUGUGAAAGCCCCGGGCUCAACCUGGGAACUGCAUUGGAGACUGCGUGGCUAGAGUGUGGCAGAGGGGGGUGGAAUUCCACGUGUAGCAGUGAAAUGCGUAGAGAUGUGGAGGAACACCGAUGGCGAAGGCAGCCCCCUGGGCUAACACUGACGCUCAUGCACGAAAGCGUUGGGAGCAAACAGGA